rnacentral:rRNA from 1 species
GACGAACGCUGGCGGCGCGCUUAACACAUGCAAGUCGAACGGAAAGGCCUGCUUUCCCUUGUGGAUUGCGGGUACUCGAGUGGCGAACGGGUGAGUAACACGUGAGUGAUCUGCCCCCAACUUGGGUAUAAGCCUGGGAAACUGGGUCUAAUUCCCGAUAGGACUGCAGGGUGGUGCCUGUGGUGGAAAACGAUUUUCUAGUGGUUGGGGAUGAGCUCGCGGCCUAUCAGCUUGUUGGUGGGGUAAUGGCCUACCAAGGCGGCGACGGGUAGCCGGCCUGGGAGGGUGGACGGCAACAUUGGGACUGAGAUACGGCCCAGACUCCUACGGGAGGCAGCAGUGGGGAAUAUUGCACAAUGGGCGGAAGCCUGAUGCAGCGACGCCGCGUGGGGGAUGACGGCCUUCGGGUGGUAAACUCCUUUCGACCGCGAGGAAGCCACCUGGUUGGAAGGGUGGUGACGGUAGUGGUAGAAGAAGCACCGGCUAACUACGUG